rnacentral:lncRNA from 1 species
CUAGUUCUCACUUAGUAUGUUUUAGACUGCUUGUAAUAGGAAGGUUUCUGAGUUGUAAUGAGUAAAUUGUUCUAGUCUCAGUAUUCUAAGCUGAGUUAGGAAUCACGUCUUCAAGUUACGGAACUCGAAGACUUGGGAACACUUAUCUUGGGAAGAUUUGUGUUUUUGUAGUAAUAGAAGUUAGAAGUUUUAAUUCCUUGUUUACAAGAAGUCUUGUAAUUGUGUUGAUUGUUGAGGCUCAAAGUUAUAGUGAAGAUUAGGGUUAAAUCCUGUAGAGGUACAGGUCGUGGGUUUUUACACCUUUCUGAGCCGGGUGUUUUCUACGUAAACAUUACUGUGUUCAGUUUUUACUUCUGUGAACCACAUAUACUUACUUAUUCCACAGAUAGGCAAUCAGUAGGGAUCAUACUCUAACAAGUGGUAUCAGAGACGGUUGUCUUACUGGUCACAGUGAAGGUCAAUCCACUACUAGACCCCCACUCUUUCAUGGUACUCAUUUCAUCUGGCGAAAAGCCAGGAUGGAGAUGUUUAUUCAAGGAGAAGACUAUGAAUUAUGGGAUAGGAUUAUUGAAGGUCCUACUAUCCCUAUGAAGACAAAAAAUGGUGUGCAAGUCAAGAAAAUAAGGAGUGAGUUUACUGCUGAUGAUCUUUUGGCUUUAAAGAAAAAUGCUAAGGCAAAGAAUAUCCUAGUCUGUGGUCUAGGACCUGCUGAAUACAAUAGAAUAUCUACCUGUACCACUGCUAAGCAAAUAUGGGAUGCCUUAGUAAAUGCCCAUGAAGGUACCUCUCANNNNNNNNNNNNNNNNNNNNNNNNNNNNNNNNNNNNNNNNNNNNNNNNNNNNNNNNNNNNNNNNNNNNNNNNNNNNNNNNNNNNNNNNNNNNNNNNNNNNNNNNNNNNNNNNNNNNNNNNNNNNNNNNNNNNNNNNNNNNNNNNNNNNNNNNNNNNNNNNNNNNNNNNNNNNNNNNNNNNNNNNNNNNNNNNNNNNNNNNNNNNNNNNNNNNNNNNNNNNNNNNNNNNNNNNNNNNNNNNNNNNNNAAUGGAGGAAGGAAAGAGUUGAAAAAGAACAAAAGGCCAGGAGGAAGGAAAAGGAAGAACAUGCCAUGAUAGCUGCAUGGGGAUCUGACUGUGGAAAUGAUGAUGAUGGAGUUGAUGAGACAGCAUUUAUGGAUUUUGGAGACUCAGACAUUGAGGAAGAAGAUGAUUCUUCUGAGGUAAGUUUACUUGAACUAAAAGAAAAACUGCAUUUUUUUUCUAAAACUAAACUUGUUUCCUUGAUGAGUGAUUUAAUUGAAAAUUUCCAAGAAUUAACUUCUGAUAGGGAUAAAUUGUUCAACAGUUUUGCAAGUCUUAAAUUUGAUUUCAUUGACUUAAAAGUUUGCAAGCAAAAUGUUGACAAAGAAAAUUGCACUCUCAAGGAACAAAUUACACUGCUUGAGUCCUCAAAUAAUGAUCUUAAGUCUGAAAUCCUUAAACUGACUCUCACUGACCAUGGGAAAAAGGCCAUAAGUAAAGAACAAGAAAAUGUUGAACUUGAGUUAACUAAGUACAAACAAGAAUGAUAUGACUUGACUGAAAAGAUGGAUAAGACGAGUCAAGAGGUAGCAAGAUUAAAAUUGGAUCUAUAAAAGUCAAACAGAUGGACAAAUUCUUCAAGAAUUGUUCAUCAGCUUGGUAAAAGAAAUCACAAUGAAAAAGAAGGAUUGGGUUUUUAUAAAGAAGCUGAUAAUCUUCAAGACUUAUGCUAUAUUUGUGGCAAUCUUAGACAUCCUACUACUGAAUGUCCUAUGGUUGCUAAAAGUAGAUAUCAAAGUCUGAACCUGGCAACCAAACUUUCUCAGACCAAGAAAACAAGCACUAAAAUUAGUCUGAGAAAUAAGUCAGUCUACUUGCUUCCUGCUUGGACUAGAAGGAGUUUAAUUCAUUCUUUUACUAACAAAAUAGGACCCAAGCUUGUCUGGGUUCCUAAGUCUAACCAUUGAUUUCUUGUGCAGGCGAAGGUUAAGGGAAACAAAAAGCACUGGUACCUAGAUAGUGCUUGCUCAAGACAUAUGACUGGUGACAAGCAAAAGUUCCUUUUACUCUCCAAAAUAGAUGGUGGGGGAGUCUCUUUUGGAAAUGGAAAAAGGGAAAUCAUAACUGGAGUUGGAAAAAUUGGCUCAUCUGAGUCAAAAACUGUAGAGGAUGUUUAUCUUGUGGAAGGACUGAAGCAUAACCUGCUAAGCAUUUCACAAUUGUGUGACAAAGGUAAUAAAGUAAUUUUCACUGUUGCAGGUGUUAAAGUCAAAAGGAUGGACACCAAAGAAAUUGUGAUUACUACAAGGAGAUACAGAAAUGUAUACAAAGCAGACAUAAUGGCAAUACCAGGACCUAAGUGGACUUGUCUAAGUGUAAUAGAAACUGAUCCCCUCCUUUGGCACAAAAGACUUGGACAUGUAAGUCUGAAACAACUGAACAUACUUUCCUCCAAAUACAUGGUAUUGGGACUACCCAAGACCAAUUUUAAGGAAGAAAAGUUAUGUAGUGCAUUUGGAAGGGGGAAGCAGGUAAAAUCCUCUUUCAAGUCAAAGAUCCAUGUUAGCACUACCAAAUGUCUUGACCUGGUUCAUAUGGACUUGUGUGGACCAAUGAGACAAUAAAGAAAAGGUGGAAAAAAGUAUAUUUUUGUAAUUAUUGAUGUUUAUUCCAGGUUCACCUAGACUUUGUUUCUAGCCUCUAAAGAAGAUGCCUUUGAUGUCUUUGAAAUCUUCAUUAAGAAAAUAGAAAAAAACUGGGCACUUCAUUAGUUUCCAUAAGGUCUGACCAUGGAACAGAAUUUGAGAAUGCAAAAUUCUUAGAUUUUUGUUCAUCAAAUAGAAUAGAUCAUAACUUCUCAGCUCCUAGAACUCCACAACAAAAUGAAGUGGUAGAAAAGAAGAACAGAACCUUAGAAGAUAUGGCUAGAACAAUGAUGCUUGCAGCAAAUGUUGCUAAAAACCUAUGGACUGAGGCAAUAAGUACUGCAGCAUAUGUCACAAACAGAUGCAUAAUCAGACCCUUGUUAGAAAAGACUCCCUAUGAAUUACUAAAAGGUAGAAAGCCUAACAUUUCUCACUUUAGAACUUUUGGUUGCAAAUGUUUCAUACAUAAUAAUGGUAAGGAUAAUUUGGGAAAAUUUGAUGUCAAAAGUGAUGAGGGAAUCUUUUUAGGUCAUUCACUUCAUAGUAAGGCUUACAAAGUUUUAAACAACAGAACUAACUAUGUUGAAGAAAGUAUGCAUAUGAUUUUUGAUGAGUUUUGUGUUAAGACUAACCUGCAGGAAGAAAGCGACACUGAGGAACAGGUUACACAACAUGUUCCAUCGACUGAAGCAGUCAAACUUAGGGGAACUUUCACAGGGGGAACUAAAGCUGAAGGCAUAGUGUUAGGGGGAAUUAAGCCAUCAACUGCUUCAUAUCAGAACAUUAAAAGUAUUCCAAGCAGCUCACUAGGAUUGAUCCCAAAAGGAUACAAGUAUCAAGGUUCGUACCCCAUUGAGAAUAUACUUACUAAUCUCACUUCUAGAAUCACCACAAGAUCUGGAUUGAGAAGUAUGUGUGCAUUCAAGACAUUUUUGUUAGAAAUAGAGCCAAAGAAAUUAAGUGAUGCAUUGCUUGAUGUUGAUUGGAUCAUAGCCAUGCAGGAUGAAUUGAAUUAGUUUGAGAGAAGCAAAGUAUGAUAUUUAGUUCCUCUUCCAAAAGAUAGAUCAGUCAUUGGGACUAAAUGGAUGUACAGAAAUAAAGUUGAUGAGCAUGGAACAGUCACAAGAAACAAGGGAAGACUGGUAGUUCAAGGAUACAACCAAGAAGAAAGAAUUGACUUUGAUGAGACUUUUGCUCCUGUAGCAAGACUUGAAGCCAUAAGAUUGUUGGUUGCCUUUACCUCUUACAAGGAGUUUAUUUUAUACCAGAUGGAUAUGAAGAGUGCAUUCCUAAAUGGCAUUCUCAAAGAAGAGGUUUAUGUGAAGCAACCUCCAGGAUUUGAAAGCAGAGAGUUUCCAGAUCAUGUGUACAAGCUGGAUAAGGCUUUGUAUGGGUUGAAACAAGCACCAAGGGCCUGGUAUGAGAGAUUAUCAAAGUUUCUUCUGGAGCAUGGACAGACCAGAGGUAAAAUUGACAAUACCCUUUUUUUAAAAACUAAUGGAAAGGAUUUAUUAGUUGUGCAGGUGUAUGUGGAUGACAUUAUUUUUGGCUCAACCAACAUGAAUGUGACUCAUGACUUUUCUAAACUCAUGAGUUGUGAGUUUGAAAUAAGAAUUAUGGUUUAGUUGAAUUACUUCCUGGGUCUUCAAAUAAAAUAGUCAGCAUCAGGAACAAUGAUCCAUCAACAAAAGUAUGUCAAAGAGCUUCUCAAGAAAUUAUCCAUGGAGGAAACUAAAGAAAUAAGUACUCUUAUUACCACUGCCACAAAACUUGAUCUGGAUGAAACAGGUUCUGAUGUAGAACAAAAACUAUAUAUAGGUAUGAUAGGGUCUUUAUUGUAUCUCACAGCAAGCAGACCUGACAUUGUAUUUAGUGUAGGACUGUGUGCAAGGUUUCAAGCUAAUCCAAAAGAAUCCCAUCUGAAGUCUGUAAAAAGAAUCUUCAGAUAUUUGAAAGGAACUAGUGAUCUUAGGUUGUGGGAUCCCAAAGGUAGUAACUUUAAUUUGGUAGGAUACUCUGAUACUGAUUAUGCAGGAUAUUUGGUGGACAGGAAAAGCACUACAUGUAUGGCACACUUCUUAGGAUCAUAUUUGAUUACCUGGUCCACAAAGAAAUAAAAUUCAGUAGCUUUGUCUACUGCUGAGGCUGAAUACGUUGCUGCUGGGUCAUGCUGUGCUCAAUUGUUAUGGAUCAAACAAUAACUUCUAGAUUUUGGGGUAGAUGUAGGUUGUGUUCCCAUAUUUUGUGAUAACACAAGUGCUAUAAACAUAGCCAAAAAUCCUAUUCAAUAUAAAAGAACUAAGCAUAUUGAUAUCCGUCAUCACUUUCUUCGAGACAAUGUUGAAAAAGGAAAUAUAUCAAUUAUGUUUUGUUUAACUGAGGAACAAAUUGCUGACAUUUCACUAAGGCUUUGAGUAGGGAACACUUUGAAAAAAAAUAGGUUAGCAUUGGGGAUGAUUAAAAUUGUAUAAAUCUCCUUCAAUGAUUGACUAAAAUAUGUUAUGCCUGAGUUAUUGUUGAUUAAUUCAGUCUUACACAUUUAGUUGUGUGUCCUAAUUCCAAGAUUUAAAGCAAUAUGAUAUAUCUGUGUGUUGUUUUUUUUGAUAGAUGGAUCAUCAAGGCAAGAGUGGUCAUGGACUAAUCAAACACAGGUAUAAUUAUUGUUUUCCAUAGUAGCAUUAAGAGAAACAGGUCAUCUACAUGGUUCCUUCUAUAAUGAUUAAAACCACCAAAACCCAACAGUCAUCUUCUUCAAAAGGCUGCCAGACCUUUUAUAUCCGUACUGAAGCUUUACAUCAGCAUGUUUCUCCAAAAUCACAGUCCCUUAUCUUUUAACUUCCCUCUCACUCUUCUUAAAUACACCUCUUUUUUCUCUUCUAUCUCCACUUCUCCUUCAACCUCUGAAUAUUCAACAUACUAUGGCAUCUUCUUCCUCUCCUCCUUCUUCUACAAAAUCUGACAUUAAUCCUUCUACAUAACUUAUUCUCCACCUAAACAUCAAUUUACCCUCACUUAUCCAACCCCAAAUCCUUCUCAACCUAUCUGAUUUCCUAUUCUUCAAUACCUUACCACACCCCUUCUCUUACUCAUCUUUCAAACUCACUCUUUCUAGAACCCUUACCACUAUCAGUAGAUCCUCUUCAAAUCCUUGAUCGAGAUGACAUUCCAAUUGCCAACCUUAUUCCUAGACGGUCAAGAUCGACUCUGAAACAAAAACCCUCAUUUAUCGCCAUUGAUAUCGAUGAUGAUACUCCUGAACACUCUUCUCCCGUCAUCCCUUCAUCUCAAACUCCACAUACUCAGAGAAGAAAACAACAAGAAGAUUCUUAUUUGGAAGAGAAACUUAGGGCAAGUAAAAAAAAUGAGUCAUGCCGAAUGCUUCUCCUCCCCCGUGUGAUUGCUCUCCUGACAUUCUCAUUCGCUCUAAGAGAAAGCUGAAGCAGAAGUAUACCAUAGCUAAAACAUCAAAACCAUAUCUCUCUCAUAAAAUUUCCCCUCUCUCACUCCCAAAGCCUCCACAUCUUCAAAAUCCACUGUCAAAGCCUCUACUGACAAAGUCUCUACUGAAAAGCCUCUACUCCUUCUAAAGAUACUCCAAAAUCUGUAUGACUUCCGAAGAAACAGGUCCCCAAACCUGGUCCUUCUGUCUCAUCUGCCUCAGAUUCAGACUAUCUUCCUAACACUUCUUCUGUGCCUUCUGAUGAUUCUGAUGUUGAUAUUAAUGUUGAUACACCUGCUGCUAAAGCUUCUCAGUCAGACCAUGUUCUGCAUUUUUAGAAAUGAAAGAUGGUUAGAGGUAGGGUUGUCACUGGUUUUAGGGGUCCUGAUAUGGAAACUUUGGUCUCCAAAUUGAGGGCUCAGGGGUGGUCAUCCUUGCUUCUGUAAGGUAAUCAUCAAAGAAGGUUUGGAAAAGAUGAAGUCUAUGAAUUUUAUACACAUGAAGUUGCGAUUGGGGAAAUGAUCUCAACCUCUGUUCAUGGAAAACUCAUCAAUCUUUAUCCUGCUGAUUUGGGUAGAAUUCUAAGUGUUCCUACUGGAGGUUGGGGUCACUAUGUGAAAGAAUCUUGGCCUCCUCUUGACAAUCUUCCAUCUGCCCUUGAUAUCUGCAAAAAAUUUUUUGGAAAUCCUCUCCUUUCUUCUUAUCGUAGGGUGAUAAAAAAUGAAAUGUCUUCUCUCUAUCAGUUGUAUUUUGAUGUGGUCCACAAAAUGAUCUUACCCAGGAAGGAGAGGUGCACAAUUGCAAGCUUUCUUGAUCUUACCUUAAUGGUACUCGUCAAAGAUAAGAAUGGUCAUGCUCUGCCGUAUCAGUUCUGGCUUGCCCUUGUGUUUGAUGAUUUUCAUGUCUCUGUCAAGGUGUGGUCCUUACAGACAACUAAAGAUGUGAUUGUCCAAGUGAACCAUGCUAUGUUACCUGCUGCUAUGAGACAUGCAGACAACCCUAUGCAGAAGUUGUGAAAUGCCUUAGAGGCAAAGCAGGGUGAUCUAGAGGUUGCACAGGCUAUAUUGGAGGCUGCCCAGGCUAUUCAUAAAGAUGAAAAGAGGGCUCUUAAAGCUCAAAUUGCUUCCCUAACAGCCACUUUGGAGAAGGAAAGAAUUGAAAAUGCUACUAUCAUUCGAUCAUUGACCUCUUUUAUCCCCUCUACCUCCUCGAAAUAAACUCUUUCUUCGUCCCUUAGCUUUUUUUUUUCUUUUUUCCUACUUCUUGGUCCAACUUGUUUCUCUUUUUAGUCUUACUGGAUAAUGAUAAUUGUAUCUAUUUUUUUGCAUGACAUGGACCUCUUUUGCCUCACUUAAUCUACUUCUAUUUAGUUCAAUGCUUAGUUAUCUCUUGCUCUGACUCUUGCUUGUUUUAGUGAUAGCCCCAGUGGCCAUGAAUUAUUAAACAGUUUUUCACUUAUUGGCUUAGCUUUUUGAUGAUGUCAAAAGGGAGAAGUAUAGAUUAUACAAUGCUUAUAACUCAAUUGAUCUAACUUGUUUCAUUCUACUGUGAUCCUUUUAUUGAAUUUCUUAUUGAGUAUGUCAAGUUCUUGGUAAUACUGUGCUGAUAAGUUUGUCAUCAUCAAAAAGGGGGAAUUUGUUAGGGCAUGAGAAGUUUUGAUGAUAGACAGAUGAAUGAAACAUGUUGUGCAAGCUGGUCCAUACAAGUGAAACUGCUUCGGACAUAUGGAGUGCAUGCUGAAAUCAUUACAUGCUAAAAUUAUUACAUAAGCUAUUAACACAUGGAUAAGCAAAGAAUUUUCACACAGCUAUAUGAAGAUAAUUGGAGCAGUUAGAGUUUGAGUAGAUCAAAAAGUCUACGAGGCAGAAGGAUAAAGCAAAAGAGUCCUACUCAAUUUAGAAGAAGGAGAGAUAGUUAUAACAAGGAGUGAGUUACUUGAAAGAGUCCUAUAGAAGAUACAAGUAAAGAAGAAAAAGGAAUGCAUCUGAGGGAGCAUAUAUAGACGACAAGCUGCAUUCAAAUAACCAUUCAUGCACUGAUAAGAAAAUCAACAAUCAGCAAAAUCGUUCACCAACUUGAAAAAGAACCUAAUUCUCACUUAGUAUGUUUUAAACUGCUUAUAAUAGGAAGGUUCUUGAGUUGUAAUGAGUAAAUUGUUCUAGUCUCAGUAUUCUAUAAGCUGAGUUAGGAAUCACGUCUUCAAGUUAGGGAACUCGAAGACUUGGGAACACUUAUCUUGGGAAGAUUUGUGUUUUUGUAGUAAUAGGAGUUAGAAGUUUUAAUUCCUUGUUUACAAGAA